GCCACCACAUCCAGCUUAGCCAUCUUCUAAGCUUCCUACAGACCUAUAACAAGAGACAGGGAGCUAUUCCCUAAAGCUACCUUAAUGGAAUUCAUGCUGUAGGGGAGGGAAAAUAUCUUUUGCUCUAGCCAUCUUGAGUUCUGCAGCUGAGGCCCUGCAAAUUAGACUAAGAAGAGACAGAUUAACAAGAGAAAAACAGGUUAUUAACAGGCGCAUCAUGCCUUCACCUGGCAGUACCCAUCAAUGAGUAAAUCAGGAUGGUUUGAACUUGGGCUUAUAUAACAUCUUAACAAAAGAACAAUAAAUUUUUAGAGAAGUGACAAGACAAAGGAAAAAAACUUUGAGCUUCUAGCGGCAGCAAAUUGUGGAAAGGCAAAUAUAUGGAGAAAAUAAUGGAAGAUAAAGGCUAACUAAGGUUUGUACGUGGGUUACUCCGCUGCCAUCUCUGGGCUGAUAUGGGUCUAGUGUUGUCCUCAGUGAUUAAUUUCUGUCCUAACUAGUAGGAAGGGGAAGAGGGACCCCUUUACAAAUUUAUGUUCUGCUUUUAGGCAAAUGAUUGGGGAAAGGGCGAGACAGAGAGCUUUUCUUGUAUCUGCUUCUUCUCAAUUGCCUUCAAUUGAGAAGACAUCUUUUAGGCUGACAUAUUUUGGGGUGGCAUAUAUUUCUGCCUGUCAGUGUCAACUCAAGUUCUUUCUAGUCUCGCCAGAAUGCAUCCACUGACAUCCCGUCUGCCCAGCAUUGGGAAAUUUGCUGAGGGACUUUCAAAAUAAGUUUCUGCCCUCCAUGCACCUGUCCUUUCAUGAAGACAAGACUUUCAAAUGAAAAAGAGGAAAAGAACAAUUAAAGCAGUUCCCUGUAUCCAUAUGGAAGGCAAUAAGUGAGUACCUGGCUAGCUGCCUUCUCCCGUGAAGCAUCUCAGAUACCUGCACUCAGCAUCAACGUUCAUAAAGGCCUGGAAUUAACUCACUGUCCACAGUGGGCCAUUCCCUUUUCUCGCUCAUGCUGCCCCCUCAGCGUGGCAUGGCCUUCCUCCCAUCAGAGUUCUCCCUACAGAGCCAGCUCCUCAAAGCCCGCCUGCUUUGUGACAUUCCCAGAUGCCCGGUCAGGAUGAACAACUCCUCCGACCAGACUCUCAUUGUGGGCCAAAAGACCUGGAAUCAGGAGUUACUUAUUACAGCUUAAUGGGCAGAGAAAAGGAAAUCAGAGGCAGAGCUCCCCAGAGAUCAUUAUUCUUUGUAAAUUUUCGUUACACAACUGAUAUAUAUGUUUUUAUAACAACAAAGAGAGUAAACAAAAAGUUUCAGGACGUUCUUUGUAAAUUUUCAUUACACAACUGAUAUAUAUGUUUUUAUAACAACAAAAAGAGUAAACAAAAAGUUUAAGGACACAAAUGAAAAUUAUUGCAUUUCCACAACCCAGAAACAAGAAGUAACAUUUGGUAAACCUUUUUUCUGGAUGUUAUUCUACCUGUAUCUAGAUAAAAAGAAGUUUAGGUGUAGGUGCAGAUACAGAUAAUGUGUCUACCAAGAAAAAAUAAAACAAUACUGCACUGGGCUGUUUCUGUUUCGUUAACUGCUUGUUUCACUUGACAAUGGAUACUGAGCAUCUUUCCACGUCAGAAUUACCCUUCUAACGUCAGGCAGGUCAGAGUCAGCCUGAUGUCCAUGCAAUUUCCUCCAUAGAUUAGAUACAGAAAAAAAGCCACCAAAGGUAAAGACAAGAGACUCCCCCCAGAGCUACCCCCUGGGAGAGGCCAAUCCUGCAGCACCUCCCGACUCAGCACCCGUGCACAAACCCAGCUCCCUAAAUGUGGGGUCGGGAGCUUCAAUACCCAGACCCAUUCCCACCUUCUGCUCAUUCUGGCCUCAGCAAAACUUGAACCAAGCAAGCAUAGGGCAGUUUAAGUUAAAGGGAUCUGGUCGGGCACAGUGGCUCAUGCCUGGUAAUCCCAGCACUUUGAAAAGUGAAGGCAGGCGGAUCACUUGAGGUCAGGAGUUCGAGACUCACCUGACCAAUGUGGUGAAACCCCAUCUCUACUAAAAAAAAAAAAAAAAAAAAAAAAUUAGCUGGGCAUGGUGGCACAUGCCUGUAAUCCCACCUACUCCAACAGGUGGAGGUUGCAGUGAGCCGAGAUCGCGCCACUGCACUCCAGCCUGGGCCACAGAGUGAGACUCUGUCUCAAAAAAAAACAAAGAUAAAGGAAUCUGUGCCUCAGUUCUUGAGAUGGCUUAGAGUUGCUGCCUGGUAUAGACAGUGCCAGAUUUCCACAAAUCAGCAGUGAAUUGAGAACCAGUUUUAAGGAAAACUGCUCAACAUCUUCACCAUCAUGUUUAUCAACCUCAGAGUAUUCUAUGGUAAGAAUGUUUAUUUAUUCAAUUCCUAUAAUCAUAUUUAGGAUAUAUAUAUUAUUAUUAUUAAAAAGUGGACUGCUGUGAACAUGUUUGCCAGAUUUUUAUGCAUUAUCAUAAAUGCACAAUUUAUCCUUUUCUUAAAGAUAAAUUUCUAGAGGUAGAAUUUCUAGAUCAAAGAACAUACAGGUUUUUUUAAUAGCUUUUAAAAUAGAUAAAGUGGCCAAGUUUCUAUCAAUUUUACGUUUGUGUAUUAAAACGCACAAAGCACCUGGCAUAGGAGAUACCACAAUCACAAAGGUGGUUUUCCCAGGGUGAGGCUUAUCCAUUGCACUCUAGAUGUGCUGAUACCUGCGAUUAUCCCAAAUGCGGGAAACUCAGCUGCAUAAUUUGUGGUAGUGGGGGACUGUGUGUGUGCUUUCCCCUGAUGUUUAUUAAAAAGAAAAAAUUUUUGAUUCAAAGUAAAUAAAGUAAAAUGCACAAAGGAACAGCCCAUACCUCACCCACACAUGGACAAAAUAAAAGGCAGAGACAACCUCGUUGUCUGGAUUUACAGUUCUUUGACUACUGCUGAGAACAAAUAUUUCAGAAAAUAGUUAUAGGUUAUUUUUAUCUUUUUUUUUUGAAUAGUGAGUUCUUGACCUUUGUCCCUGGACUCCUUGAAGUCCUACCACAUGUUAAACCUUAGGAUAAUACAAUGGACACUGAUUUUGUCUACUCUGGAGAAUUUCCAAGAGUAAGGAGCAAAGUUCCCCAGUUCCCAUGGGGCCUACCCCCACUCCAGCUCACACCCCUUGCCUGCUAACCAAAUUUGACUGCAAAGGUGUGAUGGAGAAACUCCCAGCUUUUUUUUUUUUAUCUCUGGCUCUAGAACUUUGAAGCCACUCAACCUAAAGACAAGUCUACUCAAAUGGCAAACCCUACCAGCCAUCUCUUGGCUCCCUCCCCUCCCCUCCUCUCCCUUUAGAACACAGCCUCAGCUCCUACCAGAUCAUGACACCUUUACUCCUCUUGCCCUAACACUCCCAGACAGUAGAAGACUUAGUCUGAAAAUACAUGUGUUCCCCAUGUGUGUCUGCAUCUGUGAGAGAGAGUCAGUUCAGCAGACCCUCAGUGAGUGUUCGAGUAUGCAGGGCCCUGAGCCCAGUGCUAUUAGACACAUGGAGAUUUAAAAAAAAAACAAAACAAAAAAAAGACAUGGCCGGCUGCAGUGGCUCAGGCCUGUAAUCCCAACACUUUGGAAGGCUGAGGCAGAUGGAUUACUUAAGGUCAGGAGUUCAGGAUCAGCCUGACCAACCUGGUGAAAUGCUGUCUCUACUAAAAAUACAAAAAAUUAGCUGGGUGUGGUGGUGGGCACCUGUAAUCCCAGCUACUAGGGAGGCUGAGGCAUGAGAAACACUUGAACCCAGGAGGCAGAGGUUGCAGUGAGCUGAGAUCGCACCACUGCACUCCAGCCCGGGAGACAGAGCAAGACUCCACCUCAAAAAAAAAAGAAAGAAAGAAAGACAUAAUCUUUGCCUUCCAGAAAUUAACAAUCAGGUAUGUGACUUAUACUCAGAUAAUGACAGAUGGGUACAUUUUGAAAAUCCUGUAAGAGAAGUAAAGACACUGUGCUAUGGGAGGCUAACUUCCAGUGUGGAAAGUUGAAGACUUCAUGGAGGAAGUGGAAUUUAAGCCUGACAGAAAUGGGGGAAAGACAGUCCAGGAAGAAGAAACAGUCUAAGUAAAGGCAAAAAGAUGGGGUAGUGCAUUCAAGAACUGCUGAGUUCCAUUUAGCUGAGAGUAGUUUAUCUGCAAUGGACUGAAGUUUGUAUCCCCUCAAACUUUGUAUGUUGAAAUGCUAACCCCAAAGCAACAGUAUUUGAAGACGGAGUCUUUGGGAGAUGAUUAGGUCAUGAAGGUGGAGCCAUUAUGAAUGAGAUUAGUGUUCUUAGAUGUGUAAACCAAAAAUAAAAUUCUAAGCCCUUCAAUUGACUGAUGAAGCCCCCCUCUCAGCCAAGGGCAUUCCAAAGUAAAACUAGUUCAGGCUGUGAUGGAAAGCGGAAGUCAGACAUGCUUCAUUAUACCCUCCUCCUUUUGGAAUUCAGGCACAAAUUGUCAGUGCUAACAUUAAAGCAGAGAUCUUAAGAUUGAUAAAACAGACUCUUUGCAGCAAUAAGAUACCAAAUUCCAACCUGACUCUACUAUAGCAUCACAUGAUAGAUAGUAGGCCCUGAAAGAAAUCGAAGUAUUUUGCCCUAAAAUUUAUUUAUUUGACAUAUUUUGAAAUGGCCCUGCAAAGCUGCCUCUUGUAGGGAAAAUUACUCUCUAGAGAAUCUCCUUCCCUUUCCAGGUCUUUUCCCUGAUCUAGGAGAGAAUCAACUCUUUCAACCAAUUGCCAAUCAGAAAACCUUUGAAACCACCUGUGACCUGGAAGCCUCCACCUCACCCCACCCCACUUGGAGUUGUCCUGCCUUUCCAGACUGAACCACCGUGCACCUUACAUGCAUUGAUGGAUGUCUGCCUGUAACUUCUGUUCCCCCUAAAAUGUAUAAAAUUAAGCUGUGACCCAACUACCUUGGGUAUAUGUUCUCAGGACCUCGUCAGACUGUGUCAUCAGUCAUGGUCCUCACAUUUGGCUCAGAGUAAAUCUCUUCAAAUAUUUUACACAGUUUGACUCUUUUCAUUGACAUAAGAAGAGGCCAGAAGCCAGGUACAGUGUCACACACCUGCAGUCCCAGCUACUUGGGAGGCUAAGACAGGGGUAUUGCUUGAGCCCAGGAGUUUGAGUUCAGCCUGGGCAAUACAGAAAGACCCUGUCUCUAAAAAAGAAAAAAAAAAAGAAGAAGCCAGAGAGCUAGUCAGCUCUCCUUUUUCCAGUGUGAGGACACACCAAGAAGAUGGCUGCCUGUGAACCAGGAAAAGAGCCCUCACCAAGAACCCAACCCUGCUGGCACCCUGGUCUCAGACUUCCAUCCCCCAAAACUGUGAGAAAUAAAUAUUUGCUGUUUAAGCCACUCAGUUUGCAGUAUGUUGUUACAGCAGGCACUGUCUAAGGAGAAGGAAUAGAAGAUGAAGUCAGGCAGGAAGGCAGAGGCCAAACUUUGGAGGCCUGAAUGCUGGGCCAAGAAACAGGGAGUUUUAUUGACAACAUUUAAGCAAGGAAGACAUAGUCAUAAGUGAUCAGAUAUAAUUGGCCACAACUAUUUUAAUUUAGAGAUUAGAUACCUAACCAAGAAAGAC
rnacentral:lncRNA from 1 species